GCUCGUGUAGGCCUUGUGCUGAAAAUCUUUUCCUUCUCCUAAAUAAAAUUAAAAAAUAUUAUUUUAAGGGUUCUAGCGCAUGUGUGAUCGCACGCAUCGUCCUUGUGCUAGAAGACCCUUUCCUUUCUAUAAAUAAAAUUAAAAAAUAUUAUUUUAAGGGUUCUAGCGCAUGUGUGAUCGCACGCAUCGUCCUUGUGCUAGAAAACCUUUUCUUCUUGCUUACAUAAGAAUACCAAAAAUUUCAUUUUCAAACAACAGACAACUUUAGAAAGAACUACGUAACCCUGAUUUCUCAUUUUGAAUGAGAAUACGUAGGAGCAAGGUCAAUCCUUGUCGGGC
rnacentral:lncRNA from 1 species